rnacentral:rRNA from 1 species
UACGGAGGGGGCUAGCGUUGUCCGAAGUUACUGGGCGUAAAGCGCGCGUAGGCGGGUUGGUAAGUCCGCUGUGAAAGCCCGGAGCUCAACUCCGGAGGGUCGGUGGAUACUGCCAGUCUUGAAGGUGCUAGGGGGAGAUGGAAUUACCGGUGUAGCGGUGAAAUGCGUAGAUAUCGGUAGGAACACCAGUGGCGAAGGCGGUCUCUGGGACGGUACUGACGCUGAGACGCGAAAGCGUGGGGAGCGAACAGG